rnacentral:rRNA from 1 species
GAUGAACGCUGACAGAAUGCUUAACACAUGCAAGUCUUUGGCGAAGCUGUGCUUGCACAGCCUAGCCAAGGCGGACGGGUGAGUAACGCGUAAGGAACUUGCCCUGCAGUCAGGGAUAACAGACGGAAACGACUGAUAAGACCUGGUAAAGUCAGGCGGACUCAUGUCCAGCCUGAUGAAAAGAGAUGCUGCAGGAGAGCCUUGCGUCCUAUUAGCUUGUUGGUGGGGUAACGGCCCACCAAGGCGAUGAUAGGUAGCCGGCCCGAGGGGGUGGACGGCCACAAGGGGACUGAGAUACGGCCCUUACUCCUACGGGAGGCAGCAGUGGGGAAUAUUGGAAAAUGGGGGCAACCCUGAUCCAGCAAUUCUGUGUGCACGAUGAAGGUUUUCGGAUUGUAAAGUGCUUUCAGCAGGGAAGAAAAAAAUGACGGUACCUGCAGAAGAAGCGACGGCUAAAUACGUG